CCUACGGGAGGCAGCAGUGAGGAAUAUUGGUCAAUGGCCGGAAGGCUGAACCAGCCAAGCCGCGUGAAGGACGAAGGUGCCACGCAUUGUAAACUUCUUUUGUCAAGGGACAAAAUCAGGCUCGAGAGCCUGACCGAGGGUACUUGAAGAACAAGCAUCGGCUAACUCCGUACCAGCAGCCGCGGUAAUACGGAGGAUGCGAGCGUUAUCCGGAUUUAUUGGGUUUAAAGGGUGCGUAGGCGGGCUGUUAAGUCAGCGGUAAAAGCCCGGGGCUCAACCCCGGCGAGCCGUUGAAACUGGCUGGCUUGAGAGGGCGAGAGGUAUGCGGAAUGCGCAGUGUAGCGGUGAAAUGCUUAGAUAUUGCGCAGAACUCCGAUUGCGAAGGCAGCAUACCGGCGGCGAUCUGACGCUGAGGCACGAAAGCGUGGGUAUCGAACAGGAUUAGAUACCCCAGUAGUC
rnacentral:rRNA from 1 species